CGGGGAGUAGCGCAGUCCGGUAGCGCAUCUGGUUUGGGACCAGAGGGUCGCAGGUUCAAAUCCUGUCUCCCCGACCA
rnacentral:tRNA from 3 species